rnacentral:lncRNA from 1 species
AAAUAUUUCCUCUUUCUCCCUCAUGCUUAGUUCGUUCCUCUCUCUCAAUGGUUAUUAAAAUGAAAGAGAGAGAAAUCAAAUCAGACUCCAUCUCUCUCUUGGAAUUUCGAUUGUCUUCCCCAACCCUUCUCACCAGAGCAUAGCGGUGGCCAGCGGCAUCGCCGCUGCCUUCUAUGGUAGCUCUUCAAAUCAAAACCCUAAGACCUAAACACGACCCCCACCAAUUUUUGUUGUAGAUUUCGAAUCCGUCCUCUAAAAUAAAAAAAAUCAACUAUUCUUCCGGAUCGAGAGAGAACUAAAACCCUAACCUAACAAAUUACCAAUUAACGACCUAAACAUAAAAAAGACCUCCAUUCAAAGUGAGACAAAUAAUAAGUAGUAAGGAAAAGAAUGUAAUGCACGAAGACAGAGGCGAAAAUGACCUCGACAGAGUUUUGAGACUCCGAAGAGGUUCUCCGACCAACCUCGAAGGUAAACGGUUAUGGAUCUCCCUCUCUCUGAUUUAAUCCGCUUCAACUUCUUUUUGGACGAUUUUUGUUUCCUCUGAGAUGAAAGACUGUCUUUUAUGGAUGAGGGUUUUUUCGACUGCUAUGGUUUUUUAACGAGUUUUUUGGUGUGACUGUUGGGAUUUUUUUAUUCUUGAUGGUUUCUAGUUUGUUUGAAGGUUCUUAGUUUUUUUUUAUCUGAUCUUUGGUGGUUUUGUAACUCUUUAUCUCAGACGUUUUUUUUAGUUUUUUUGUUGUCCUUUCUUUAAGAAAAGAACUUCAAUUUAUACUAAUUUUCCAUGCUUUGGAUUAGGAUUUGUAGUAGUUGUUGUUCAUUGACAUAAUUGGAUAUAAAGUUGGUUACUUUUGAAGUGUGAGAGUUUGUUUUGAUCAACUAGUAUAAACCUCUGUUAUAUUUGAAAUUGUGAUAGCCUGUAUUUUCUUUCUUCAUAUUUUGGCUCUUUGCUUUGUCUCUUUGCUUUGCUUUGUAUCUUAUUCUGAAAUGGUGUUAACUUGAUGCUCUGUUUUACAGCAGGUACAAGACAAAAUUCUGCUCCACAAGUGUACUAUGGUUAAGGUGUAGAGAUGGUAGAAUGGCCUAGUAAAUUCAAGCCUUGAGAGAUCAACUUUUUUUUUUGUACUUAUUCUCUUUUUUUUAAUGUAGUUUGUUACUGUAAAAACUUGUACCUUAUUAUAAUGUAAAAACUUAUAUUUAUAUAUUUUUUAAAUCUUUUUAUUUAUUUGUG